rnacentral:rRNA from 1 species
GAGUUUGAUCAUGGCUCAGGAUUAACGCUGGCGGCGUGCCUGACACAUGCAAGUCGAACGAGGCCGCAAGACCUAGUGGCGGACGGGUGAGUAACACGUGACCAACCAACCCCGAAGUUGGGAAUAGCUCUGCGAAAGUAGAGGUAAUACCGAAUGUGGUCCAGGGCGGACAUUCGCUCUGGUCUAAAGAUUUAUCGCUUCGGGACGGGGUCGCGGCCUAUUAGCUUGUUGGUGGGGUAACGGCCUACCAAGGCGAUGAUGGGUAGCUGGUCUGAGAGGACGACCAGCCACACUGGGACUGAGACACGGCCCAGACUCCUACGGGAGGCAGCAGUGAGGAAUCUUCCGCAAUGGGCGAAAGCCUGACGGAGCAACGCCGCGUGUGGGAUGAAGACUUUAGGGUUGUAAACCACUGUCGGAGGGGACGAUCGUGACGGUACCCUCCAAGAAAGCCCCGGCUAACUACGUGCCAGCAGCCGCGGUAAUACGUAGGGGGCGAGCGUUAUCCGGAUUUACUGGGCGUAAAGCGCGUUAAGGCGG